ACGCUCGACACCUACAGGAGGCAGCAGUGGGGAAUAUUGCACAAUGGGGGAAACCCUGAUGCAGCGACGCCGCGUGAGCGAAGAAGUAUCUCGGUAUGUAAAGCUCUAUCAGCAGGGAAGAAAAUGACGGUACCUGACUAAGAAGCCCCGGCUAACUACGUGCCUGCAGCCGCGGUAAUCUGAGGCGGGCUGGCAAGGC
rnacentral:rRNA from 1 species